CGCGGCCUAUCAGCUUGUUGGUGAGGUAAUGGCUCACCAAGGCGACGACGGGUAGCCGGCCUGAGAGGGUGACCGGCCACACUGGGACUGAGACACGGCCCAGACUCCUACGGGAGGCAGCAGUGGGGAAUAUUGCACAAUGGGCGAAAGCCUGAUGCAGCGACGCCGCGUGAGGGAUGACGGCCUUCGGGUUGUAAACCUCUUUCAGCAGGGAAGAAGCCACAAGUGACGGUACCUGCAGAAGAAGCGCCGGCUAACUACGUGCCAGCAGCCGCGGUAAUACGUAGGGCGCAAGCGUUGUCCGGAAUUAUUGGGCGUAAAGAGCUCGUAGGCGGUUUGUCGCGUCUGCUGUGAAAGCCCGGGGCUUAACCCCGGGUGUGCAGUGGGUACGGGCAGACUAGAGUGCAGUAGGGGAGACUGGAAUUCCUGGUGUAGCGGUGGAAUGCGCAGAUAUCAGGAGGAACACCGAUGGCGAAGGCAGGUCUCUGGGCUGUUACUGACGCUGAGGAGCGAAAGCAUGGGGAGCGAACAGGAUUAGAUACCCUGGUAGUCCAUGCCGUAAACGUUGGGCACUAGGUGUGGGGAGCAUUCCACGUGUUCCGCGCCGUAGCUAACGCAUUAAGUGCCCCGCCUGGGGAGUACGG
rnacentral:rRNA from 1 species